AGAGUUUGAUCAUGGCUCAGGAUGAACGCUAGCGGCAGGCUUAACACAUGCAAGCCGAGGGGUAGGGCAGCAAUGCUUGAGACCGGCGCACGGGCGCGUAACGCGUAUGCAAUCUACCUUUUGCAGAGGGAUAGCCCAGAGAAAUUUGGAUUAAUACCUCAUAGUAUAAUGAAUUCGCAUGGAUUUAUUAUUAAAGUAACAACGGCAAAAGAUGAGCAUGCGUCCCAUUAGCUAGAUGGUAAGGUAACGGCUUACCAUGGCGACGAUGGGUAGGGGUCCUGAGAGGGAGAUCCCCCACACUGGUACUGAGACACGGACCAGACUCCUACGGGAGGCAGCAGUGAGGAAUAUUGGACAAUGGGCGCAAGCCUGAUCCAGCCAUGCCGCGUGCAGGAUGACGGUCCUAUGGAUUGUAAACUGCUUUUGUACAGGAAGAAACCCUCGGACGUGUCCGAGAUUGACGGUACUGUAAGAAUAAGGAUCGGCUAACUCCGUGCCAGCAGCCGCGGUAAUACGGAGGAUCCAAGCGUUAUCCGGAAUCAUUGGGUUUAAAGGGUCCGUAGGCGGUUUAGUAAGUCAGUGGUGAAAGCCCAUCGCUCAACGGUGGAACGGCCAUUGAUACUGCUAGACUUGAAUUAUAAGGAAGUAACUAGAAUAUGUAGUGUAGCGGUGAAAUGCUUAGAUAUUACAUGGAAUACCAAUUGCGAAGGCAGGUUACUACUUAUGGAUUGACGCUGAUGGACGAAAGCGUGGGUAGCGAACAGGAUUAGAUACCCUGGUAGUCCACGCCGUAAACGAUGGAUACUAG
rnacentral:rRNA from 1 species